rnacentral:pre_miRNA from 1 species
CUGGUCAGGUGGGGCUUUAAGAAUUAUCAUCCUUAAAAUCCUUUUUGACCAGGA